CAGCCUCACACUAGGUUAAAGUUCAAUUACUAGACUGCAUGCGGCGGAACUAGUCACCAAAAUUGAUCAAGCGUUUCUUGUUUCGGAGGCUUCCGGGACAACGGUGAGGGAUUCUGCCAUCACCAACGCAAACGGUGGAGACAGGGCAUGAACUGGACAGACGAGCGGGUCGAGAAA
rnacentral:sRNA from 9 species